UACGUAGGGUGCGGGCGUUAAUCGGAAUUACUGGGCGUAAAGCGUGCGCAGGCGGUUUUGUAAGCCAGGUGUGAAAUCCCCGGGCUCAACCUGGGAAUGGCAUUUGGGACUGCAAGGCUGGAGUGCGGCAGAGGAGACUGGAAUUCCUGGUGUAGCAGUGAAAUGCGUAGAUAUCAGGAGGAAUACCGAUGGCGAAGGCAGGUCUCUGGGCUGACACUGACGCUCAUGCACGAAAGCGUGGGGAGCAAACAGG
rnacentral:rRNA from 1 species